CAUUGAAUUGGACGUUUAACAACCAAUCAAACGGCAGUAUAGCUUUGCAUGUUGAUGUAUGAAAAAAAUCCACCACACGGAAGAGAGGCAUGGCAGGGCUUCACCCCACAUGUCGAGUGUGAAACGCAACCAGUCUGUUGGUAAAGAGGGAGGAGGCAAAAGUGAGAAGAGACAUUGGCAGAAAUCAAGUGUCAGCCUGCACCUUUUGUCUCAGUGGUUGUCUGGGGAGGUUAAAUCUGUGUGGCAAGUUAGAGGAACUGAAGGAAUCAGGAAAUAAAGUGAAAAGUAUACACGGAAAGCAGCCCAAACAGCAUCAAUGCGGUUUCAUUGGAUUGUGUUAGUUGUAUCCACCUUGGUUUCCUUGGGACUGCUGUUGAUUACUGUUGGCCAAUAUGAAGUGAUCAUAUUGCUCAACAAGGGGAGUGAAAAUCUGCAAAUACAGUCGGUGGGUCUUAAUAAUCAAUAUAUAAAUGAAGACUUGUUUAAAGUGACGAUGGAAAAGCUGCUGGUUCAGGGGACAAAAGUCGUGGAGGAUCUGGAGGUCACAGUGGCAAAACUUAAUCAAGAGAUUGGGCAGAAGAAAAAAGAAAUUGACAUCUGUCAAGCAGAAAAGAAAAAAACUGAUGAGGAGCUGGCGGCCAGCACAGGGAAGGAAAGGAGUGAGACUGAAGCUGCCUUAAAAUCAGAGUCUGAUGCCUGGACCCAAGAGAUUAAUACUCUGAGAGCACAACUGACGGGGUAUAGACCAAUAUGUGAUCAUGUGAAGGAAGACCCACUCGCUCUGAAAAUAUGUGGCAACAAAACAACCUCCUGAAGUCAGCACAGGGAACAAAUCUGAGAACAACUGUCGUUCCUGUUACUGCUGUAUAAAGUGUUAUUGAUAUGCUGUUGAGCUACACUGAUAAGACAGCUGGGUUUUUACUAAAAAUUGUGUUGAUGUUCUCGGGGGUUUGUUUACCCUGGAACGUCUGGCACUUGUUUCCCUAUAUAUCUGUGUUUUUUAGCUGUCAGAGGGCAUAUUUUGCAUUUAGACAAAUUACGGAAGAGAGACGAGUUGUUGAUGAGCAACAAAGGUCCUCUGUCUAACUUGUAAUGCGAUUACAUGAUGCCCCUAGGCACAGCUCAACCUACCUUAUCUGGUUUCACUGGAAACACUGUCAUUGUGGCAUUGGCUUAUUUGUAGUAUUUCAUGAAGGCACUAUACAGCAGUGAUGCUAAUGUAUUAUCAAUAAAUGUAUAUUACACUUUGAAAACCA